ensembl:lncRNA HCG18 HLA complex group 18
AGCUCCCUCUUUGCCCACUAGCAGGGCAUUAGCUGGUGCUGAAGACAGUGGCUGCUUGGCGAGCCUGGAUCUCCAAGUGACCCCCUCAGCAACUCCUGAUGAACAGGACUGAAGCCAAUAUUAAAGCAAGUCAACCAAAGGUUCUCUGGUGUAGACAAGACAGCAAAAGGACAGACUACCUUGUGGAACCUAGCAUUGUUCUCCUUCUGCAGCACUAAGUAACAUUUGUUCUCCGUUAAGAUCUUUGCAAACCACACACAAGAAUUGCUGGUCAUCCUGCCAAUAGAUGCUGCUCACAGAACCAAAUUUCCUGUGCUGAAUUGUCACUCAUGGGCUUGAGAGUAGGAGACUGGAGACCAAGGUGGCUAGAAUCCAGUUGGGCCUGAUGUCUCCCUGUUGAAAGGGCUCCUUGUGGAAUGAAUAGCACAUGGCUCCUGUGGUGGAUCUGAUAGUGGCAUAGCACCAAGUGAUGCAGGCCUGCCAGGGGCCACAGACACAGAAGAUGCUCCCGGGGUCCCCCAUGUACUCCAGACACACUGCAGGCCACCUCUCCCAGCAGGUUGCCAGUCAUGGGCCCCAUCAUCAUGACUUCUGUCCAAGGUGUGCUCGGAAAUCUCUUCCUUAACUGUGACUUUCUGACAGGUGGAGGAUGUGGUCAGGAGUGGGAAAAGGAUUCGAGACGGGAAGAGGGAGGGGUUCAGGAUGAAGAGAGAUAAUCUGUGCCACAGAUGCUGGCCCUGCAGUUAGCUCCCACCUAGUCCGUGCACACACAUUCUAAUCCCCUCCCAUUCCUUUACAUGCUGCGGCCAGAGAGGCCUUUCUCAAAGUGGAAGUCUCAUCCUCACUUCUCUGGUUACAGUGCUGGGCCAUGGUAACUUACAAGGCUUAGCAGGAACUGUCUGCGCACUCCCCCUUCCUGCCCACUACCUUGUUUCCCUCCAGUUGCGAGAGAAAACAUUGAUUGAGCAUUAACUAUGUGCCAGGCUUGUCCUAAGUCCUUUGCAUGUAUUCACUCAAACAAUCCUCACAACAUUCCUAUCACAUCUCCCAUUUCACAGUGAGGGUUCUAAAGCACGUAGUGGGUGAGGAACUUGUCCAGGGUCACACAACUAAGUGGGGGUGGAGAAACAUCAAAUCUAGGUGGUCCAGGUGGUGGCCAGAACCCAUCAGCACCUCACUACAGCUGCCUCCAGUUUCUCGCUCUAGGAAAUACUCUUCCCUGUCAACUCCUGUUGUCCUCUGGGCUCAGUUGACAUGUCAUCUCCUUGAGGAGGACAUCCUGAGAUGCUCCCCGACUAGGGUGGGCACCCACUUCCACACUCCAAAUGCCUAUUUGACCUGUGUAUCGCUGCAUCCCCACUGCCUGGCAGAUAGCAGGCCCCUAAUAAAUAUGAUUUGAGCAAAUAAAUAUAGUUCUUCAAAAAAUAGGGAGGACUUCUUGCUUCAGGUAAUGGUAGGCUAGGACAUUUGGACCAACCCUCCUGCAGAAAAUAGCCAUUUAUUUUGAUGCAAUAUAUCUGGCUAUGACUAGAGAUUUCAAAUAUUUGGAGGGCUAUUAUGUGAAGAACUAAACUUACUCUUUGUGACAUAGAGGUCAGAAAUUGGUCGUUUCCAUAGAGUAUGAGAGAGACAGAAUUGUGCUCAUCAUAAGUAUCUUUUUUAAAAGUUAGACUUAAUAAAAUGGGCUGCCUUGGUAGGUGGUGAGUUCUCUGUCACGAAAGAGAUUCAGCCACUUGCUCUGAGAAAGCAUGGAGAAUAUCAACAUUGUAAGGGUCGACCACCUCAUCUCUGAGGCCCCCUCCUCACUUAGGUUGCCAUUGCAGGUGGAACACUGGGCUGAGUGUCAAAGAACCUGGGUUCCACAAACUGUGCGACCAUGGCUGGUUGUUUUGGAUCUCAUUCCUAAUAUCUGUUAGUUAAGCUGACCCGUCAAUACUGACCCACUUCACAGAGUUAUGAAGGGAUUAAAUUAGGUAUUACAUGUAAAUCUGUUUUGUUUGCUUUUUGUUGUUCUUUUUUGUUUUGCUUUUUUCUUUGCAUUAUGAAAUCCCAAGUCAACUUUUUCCAUUCUUUUAUUUUUUUAAAAAUUGACAUCAUCAUUAUAACCACAAAAUAAUUUUUAAAAUGGAAAAAAAAAACUCACCUGCAACCCCACAAUCUAAUACAAUAAUCAUACUUUUUUCCCUUUAUUCUCCUUUAUUGUGACCAAGGAUGACUUUGGGCAUUGCUGUGAGGAACUAUUUCGUUUAACACCCUACUACCUGAACAUGAUGCGUACUCAGCCUUUCACCACCCCCCAAGUAGCUACACAUGAUGUGAUAAUAGUAUUGGUGGUGGUUUUAGAGAGUUGGAGAGAAAACUGAAGUUGGAUUUGGGUAAAAGAAAAAAGAGUGGGAAUUAUUUUUUCUCCAUUCUAAAGCCCAUAAAGCAAUGUUAAUUGUUCCCACCCCUCUGCUAUUCUGUCUCCUCAGGUACUGUGUGCAGAAAUGUGAUUGAGAUUCAAGUCAGGGCCUCUCUGCCCUUUUCCCUCCAGAAACAAAACCAAGAUAAUUUAUCCUGAACACGGUGAAAAAAGGAAGGGAGGGAGGAGAAAAAGUCCGGGUCUCACCUGGGAUUCUCUGUCUCCUGCAACAUGAAGGAUUUAGCCUGGGAGGAGGUGGUGAGAACUCUGGGAGAGAAAAAAGAAGGAAAGAAUAGUUUUACCCAUGCUGAAGUUAAUUUAAACCUUCACCUAGAGAAGCAAAAAAAAAAAACCCACACUUUCCCAUUUUGUGCCUCCCUUCCUAGAGUUUUAGCCAAAGGUUUAGCUAAGUAAUUGGUUUUACCAGCGCACUCACUCCUCCUAUCCCAAGUCUGUUUGACUCCCUCCCCAUCAUCCUCCUCACCUCUUUUCAGGCAGGGUGGGGAUAGCAGCAGGAGGAGAUUUUGGGAGCCUGGCAACUCCUGCAAGGACCGCAGGACAGCCCCUCUGUGGGGAUGCGUGGUGCCCCAUCUGCCGCCCUUCUGAAGAAUGCACUGCCUUCACUUUUUACUGUGUUAGAGUCCAUCCAGACUGUUCUAUCCAAAAAAGUUUCUUUUUCCCCCACAGGCAAUCAGGAAAUGAUUCCUUUCCCGACUGCUUCUGUCUAGUGCCUGGGAAUCUUGAGUCAAUCCCUCAGUAAGUCAGUGACUAGGGAAAUCCCUCUCUGAGCCUCCCAGUUCAUGUUGCUUAGGGAACCUGAUAUUUUCGUGAAACCUGCCUACACAUGGGCAGCCCAACAGCAGAACAAAUGGUGGUGACCAAAGUGAACAAAGAAGUAUAGUUGUGCCAGCUUCGUAGUUGCCCAUGUGGACAAGUCAGCAGGAUCAGGACACGAGGAAGAGUAAAUGUGAGACAGUCAAUGUGACUUCUGCGAUAAACAGAUUUUUAAACCCCGAAAUUUUGCAAAAUUUUGGUGAAACCUGAACUUUCUUCGUUGCAUAUACUGGCACUAUCUGUACCAUCAUACAACUGUCUCACAUUAAAGCUAUUUUUCUUGGGCACUGAUGAGUAAGGUUGGUAUAAGUUCCUCAGAUCAACAAAAACCCAUUUUCCUGUAAGUCUUACAUUUAGUAUUUAAGGAACUAAAACUUAAAUACAUUUUGUGAAAUGGUUGACACUUCACUGAUAAUGAUUUAUUGCUUGGAUUAAUAAAUUUUCCAAAAGUUGUCUUAUGUAGAAUAUGGUUUGCAACCAGCAGAACCAUUAAUCUAUACUGCAAUGAUAUGCACUAUGUAUAAUUGUUUAAAAGCCUCUACUUAAUGAUGUAAAAUGCUCUAUUUAAUUACACAUUUGGGUAAACUGUAUACUAACAUCUGAUGGCAUUUUUCCACUGUUUGUUGCUUUUUUCAAAUACUUUAUUGUACAAAGCUGUUCUUAAUAUUUUUCAAGUUUUUUUCUUUGAAUUUUGCUAAUGUUUUCCUUGAAUUAUGAGCACUGACAGAAUGUGCUUAGCACUUUUGGCUAUUCACACAGCUUUUGAGCAUGAUUUGCAUCCAAUAUUUACAUUGCUAGCAAUAAUAAGCCAUCUGUGAGUUUUGUCAAAA